rnacentral:lncRNA from 1 species
AGGCAAAAAUGUACAAAAAUUAUCUGAAUUAUGAAUCAUUUUGAGUUGAUUAUGUAAUCUUUUGAAUGCAUCGUUUAUAGUACACUCUGUGCAAUUCUAUAUAAUUAUAAAUUUAUAAAAAUAAAUAUUAAUAUUAAAUUUUAAAGUCAAAGUGCAAUUAACUGAGUCAAAUUAAAUAAAUUAAAAGAUUGGACGGUAAAAUCAAAAUUUUUAAAAGUUAGAUAGUUUACUCUAACGUUUAGAUAAGUUCUACAUAUUUUUUACAUAAUUUAAUUUUUUUUAAAAAAAAUUAAAAACACUCAAGAAAUUGGAAAAGUUGGUCAACGGGGACAGGCGUGUCCAACCAAGCGGCGCGCAACAUUCGCAGAGGUUCGGUGCAUCUCCCGCACGCGCGAGGAUUCAAUGCCACGUGGGCCCCACACACCCUCCCCCCACGUGUGGCAAUGUGCCACGGAUCCUAGUGUUUUGACUUUUUGUACGUGUCUCCAGCUCACCCCCCGUCCGACCCGACCGGACCGAACCGGACCGCACCGGACAGGACCGGACCCGCCCGAUCCGGUUCAUUGAAUCGUUCUACUCAAGGACGAAAAAGUAAAAAAAAAAAAAAAAAAAAAAAGUAAACAAUAAUAAUUAAAUUAAAGUUGUACUGCGUACACGUGACAACUUGUUUAACAAUCCCGAGGUGAGUUUUAUAUUUUUUUAUUGUUUUAUUUUUUUUUCCUUUUUUUUUAAUUGUUUUAAUGUUACACGCUCGCGCCGUAAAGAAUGAUUUUUUUUAUUUUUGUUGAAUUUGGAAUCUUCUAUGCAAUGCUAUAUUAAUAUUAUAUAAAAUAUCUGUUUAUCUAUAAAAGAUUUAAUUUGUCACAUAAAAAUAAUUUUAAACGAUAAGCAUAUGCGGUUGAGGGGGGGUAAAUAUACACUAUAAUUUACAUAUUAUAGGGUAGUAUAGUAAUAUAUUUCACAAAUCAUGGAGUGACAAAAUGUUGCACUUUACUAGCUUAAAUAAUAGUGUUUUAGUCAUCUUUAUCGAAUCUUUGGCGCUAAUUAUUAAUUUCAAAAUUCGUAAUCAAUUCAUUCAAAGUAUACAAACACAGUAUUCACGGAUCUCGAUUGCGACUCGGCCCAACUAGCCAUACGUCAUUUCGAGCCCACGGAUCUCGAUUGCGAAUCGGCCCAACUAGCCUUACGUUAUUUCGAACGUGACUUAGUCCAACCUGACCUCUUGUCACAGGGCAGGAUAUCGAUCUAUUUACGCUAACAAUCUCUCCUCCAGUAUCUGCAAAAAUUCGUAAUAUGCGCGAAUCAAAUUCGUUACCAAUGACUCUGAUACCAUUUAUUGUCGUUGGCGCUAACCAUCAAUCCCAAAAGUUCAAACUGUUAGAAAUAUGCAACCAAUUCAUUGAAAUUAUACAGGCUAAGUCCUCAUGGGUCUUGACUAUGACUCGGCCUAACCAGCCUCACACCACUUUGAACAUGAUUCGGUCUAACCCAGCCUCACGCUAUUUUGAACGUGAUUCGGUCCAACCUGAUCUCCCGCUACAAGACAGGAUUCAUUUAAGCCAAUAAUC